rnacentral:rRNA from 1 species
GGGAAUCUACCUAGUUCUGCGGAACAACAGUUGGAAACGACUGCUAAUACCGCAUACGCCCUACGGGGGAAAGAUUUAUCGGAAUUAGAUGAGCCCGCGUAAGAUUAGCUAGUUGGUGGGGUAAUGGCCUACCAAGGCGACGAUCUUUAGCUGGUCUGAGAGGAUGAUCAGCCACACUGGGACUGAGACACGGCCCAGACUCCUACGGGAGGCAGCAGUGGGGAAUAUUGGACAAUGGGCGCAAGCCUGAUCCAGCCAUGCCGCGUGAGUGAUGAAGGCCUUAGGGUUGUAAAGCUCUUUCAGUGGGGAAGAUAAUGACGGUACCCACAGAAGAAGCCCCGGCUAACUUCGUGCCAGCAGCCGCGGUAAUACGAAGGGGGCUAGCGUUGUUCGGAUUUACUGGGCGUAAAGCGCACGUAGGCGGAUUGUUAAGUCAGGGGUGAAAUCCUGGAGCUCAACUCCAGAACUGCCUUUGAUACUGGCAAUCUCGAGUCCGGAAGAGGUGAGUGGAACUCCUAGU